GAGGAGCUGCGGAGGGAGGACGCUGGGACGGUGGUGAGGGACAAGCUGCGAGGCACGCCCGGGCCGGCCGCCCUCCCGCCCGCAACCGCGGGACUGACUAACCAACGGCGGGAGGCUGCUGAGCUGCUGUGCCACCGACUACAGCGGCGACUGCUCCUUACCGCGGUUACCGCAGCUCUCCGCCGUUUCGGCGGGGCGUGCGCGAGCGCGUGCGUGCGAUCCUUCCGCGGCGCGCCGACUCGGAGGGUCCCGGCGAGAGAGAGGGAGACUGAGCGGGAGGGGCGCGGAGGGAUACCGGCCGGGGCAAUCACAGCCGCCACGUGCGGGCAGCUAGACCCGGGAGCGGCGGCGUCGCUGUGGGUGGCUGAGUUUCGGACCGCCGGCCUGCAGAGAGGGCGUCUCCCUCGUCGGACUCCGCACCCCAGGGACGGCGGCUUGUGGGAAGCCUCGGAGUCCCUGCGUCCGGGCUGUGAAACGCCUCUGUUCUGCGUCCGGUGGCUCGGGAUGCGGAAUCUUGCGCCUAGGUGUCGGAUUGCAGAGUUGCCCUGGUGACGGGGAUGCGGAGCGUUUACUCCUCUUUGUGGUGGGGGCGGGCUGGUAGCAGGGUCGCCCACUCUCGUCUUAAGCGUCCCCAGUGGGACCCUCUUCCCUGGACCCCUCUGCCUCUCGGCCACAAAGGCUACCGAGCGGGCGCGCUCCGACAACCUGAAAUCAGAGCUGGCGUUCGUGGCUUUAAGGAACAUUUCUGAGCUUUGCCGAUCUUUCAUUAUUGUUUCAUUUGGGUACCACGGGCCUCUCAUUGUGUGGAUUCUUUGACAGGAAGAACCCCUCUUCCCCUUAAGGUUGCUUACGUGUGGCUAAAUUGCUCGUAAAUUGCGAACAAAACAGAUAGCAACCUAUGUAAAAUUAUUGGUUGGUAACUGGGAAAGUUACUGGUGGGUCGAAGAAGUCGCUGAAUAUAUAAAGAAUUUUAAAAUCUAAGAGUUCACUGUAUGAACAUGGUAAUAUUUCUGCUCUCGAAGGGUGAAAUAAUUUCAGGACCCAGAUCUCAGAAUGGCUUGUAUUUACAAGUUAAACCAUGGGUGGAGUCCCUGUGAAUCUUGAGUGUUCUUUAGUAACCUCUGGGCGUUAUGACUAGACCGGGAAUUAGGAGACGUCCAACACUUUCAAGUGAACAAAAUGAUCUGUCAGUCAAGGGAAGAGAGCGUCUCAAAACGAUGAAAAGUUGAUUUUCAACUUUAAAGUUACUGUGUAAGGUCACAAUUUGUGACAGGAGGAUUACACAGAAGUAGCUCAGGAAAGAAGACAAAAAACGUUGCUAAGCAAUCUAAUUGGUUCUGAAGUUUUCUGUUUUUUCUGCAGUUUGCUUUGAAAUGUACAACUCCUGCAGGCAAGGGAAGAAAAGCACAGUAAGAGAAUCUCCAAGUCCGGCUCCUAUCAGAUUGAGACAAUGUAUUCUCCCAUGUUCUGAUGAUACAGAAAACCUGUGUGGUAUAAAAUGUGACAAAACGUGUUUCAUUUUUGCAGGUGUGCCUUCCACCUGGUUUAGUCACACUUACUGGUUCUUGUUUAGUACUCUGCUUUUUUGUGGUAGUUGUUGAUGGUUUUAAUCCUUUGUUCUUACCAGUUUAUCAACUUAAAAGUUAAUGAUCACAAUGUGCUGAUAGCACGAAGUGUCAUUGUAGGAAUUCAUCAAGCUGUACACUUCUUGAUUUGUGCUGUUUGUACACGUUAUAAUUCAAUAAACAGU
ensembl:lncRNA